rnacentral:rRNA from 1 species
UACGAAGGGGGCUAGCGUUGCUCGGAAUUACUGGGCGUAAAGGGAGCGUAGGCGGACAUUUAAGUCAGGGGUGAAAUCCCAGAGCUCAACUCUGGAACUGCCUUUGAUACUGGGUGUCUUGAGUGUGAUAGAGGUAUGUGGAACUCCGAGUGUAGAGGUGAAAUUCGUAGAUAUUCGGAAGAACACCAGUGGCGAAGGCGACAUACUGGCUCAUUACUGACGCUGAGGCUCGAAAGCGUGGGGAGCAAACAGG